rnacentral:rRNA from 1 species
AUUGAACGCUGGCGGCAGGCUUAACACAUGCAAGUCGAGCGGGGUGAUGGUGCUUGCACUAUCACUUAGCGGCGGACGGGUGAGUAAUGCUUAGGAAUCUGCCUAUUAGUGGGGGACAACAUCUCGAAAGGGAUGCUAAUACCGCAUACGUCCUACGGGAGAAAGCAGGGGAUCACUUGUGACCUUGCGCUAAUAGAUGAGCCUAAGUCGGAUUAGCUAGUUGGUGGGGUAAAGGCCUACCAAGGCGACGAUCUGUAGCGGGCCUGAGAGGAUGAUCCGCCACACUGGGACUGAGACACGGCCCAGACUCCUACGGGAGGCAGCAGUGGGGAAUAUUGGACAAUGGGGGGAACCCUGAUCCAGCCAUGCCGCGUGUGUGAAGAAGGCCAUAUGGUUGUAAAGCACUUUAAGCGAGGAGGAGGCUCUUUUGGUUAAUACCCAAGAUGAGUGGACGUUACUCGCAGAAUAAGCACCGGCUAACUCUGUGCCAGCCGCCGCCGUAACAC